rnacentral:piRNA from 1 species
AUUCCUAAGCACAGUAUAUACAUUUGUGCACAUCUGGUGGAAAUUAUCAUUUAUAGACGAAUGACCCGGCUUCGCCCGGGAAUUCCCCCGAGUGCAAUUUCCUUCAUACUGAAAGAACAUUGCUAAUAAAUAGUAUUAGAGCCAUAGAAUAGCAACACCGAAGUAAUACAUAGUUCAAAUAGUUGGCAGAUUUUCCACCCAACCUCCGAGGUACCCGCCCCAGCGUGUUAACUCUUAUAUAUAGUGGUGCAUCCUCUGUAGGUCUAUUACACUCUUUGGGUAAAAAAGGGAUAAGGAUUGAAAUUGCUUGAGAAGAGUGACCGUGAUUGACCAAGCCUAGCCAGCAGCCUGUAAUCUAAUGUUUUCAGACCCCAGUCAAACAUUCGUAGAUGUUUUUCUGAAAAUAAUUAAAAAAAAAAACUAAUAUUAAUAUAAAUCAUAAUAAUCUGCAACUGUCCUUGAAUAUUCUAAUUCUAGAGAUUUUACCUUUCAAAUAUAUACUUUUAUAGAGAGAAUUAUGAAAAUAAGAUACCACUCAAAAACAACAAAAAAAAGAGACUAAAAUAGCAUUAAAAAAAAAAAAUUAUUCAUGACAACACAGAAGAAUACACAAAAUUUGAAGUUUUAUUUUCUGGAGCCAAAAAAUAAAUAUUUCUUCCUGAGCCAACUCUAGAGCAGGCAACAUACAAUUGCCCAUGCGAGAAACAGGGUUGCCCCAAGUCAAUGCCAGCAAUUUUGAGGGAGUGACCUUGAGCCUUGUUAAUCGACAUGGCAAAAGAAACUUGAAUGGGGAACUGCAAUCUUUUAAAAUGCAAAGGAGAAUGUUUAUCAUCAUGAAUCAGAGGAAUCCGGGGAAUAAAAACCUCUUCAUUUUGAAAACAACCAGUUAAAAUGGUUGCCUCUACCACUUGAGGCCACAAUCUUUUAACACAGAGACGGGUACCAUUGCAAAGGCGGGGUGCAUCAAUAUUUUGUCAUUAAAUAUAUACGUAUAUAGAAAGAAUUAUGAAAAUAAUAUACCACUCAAACAACAAAAAAAAAAAGACUAAAAUAGCAUUAAAAAAAAAAAUUUAUUCAUGACAACACAGAAGAAUACACAAAAUUUGAAGUCUUAUUUUGUGGAGACAAAACAUAAAGAUUUCUUCCUGAGCCAACUCUGGAGCAGGCAACAUACAAUUGCCCAUGCGAGAAACAGGGUUGCUCCAAGUCAAUGCCAGCAAUUUUGAGGGACUGACCUUGAGCCUUGUUAAUCGACAUGGCAAAAGAAACGCGAAUGGGGAACUGCAAUCUUUUAAAAUGCAAAGGAGAAUGUUUAUCAUUAUGAAUCAGAGGAAUCCGGGGAAUAAAAACCUCUUCAUUUUGAAAACAACCAGUUAAAAUGGUUGCCUCUACCACAUGAGGCCACAAUCUUUUAACACAGAGACGGGUACCAUUGCAAAGGCGGGGUGCAUCAAUAUUUCUCAAUAAAAUAAUGGGAACACCAACUCGAAGUUCUAAGUGAUGUGGUGGCAUCCCAGAAGGUUCUAAAGAAUUUAAAAACUCUGUUGUAUAUUCCACGCAAUCCUCAGCAUCAAUUGUGGAAUCCACAGAAGUAUAUAAAAUGCUUUGCCCUGGUAUUUCUUUCAAAAGCUGAGCAUUUAUGGCAUCAACUACACAAUUCCUUGGAGCCAAAAUUGCCCGCUCACAAAGCCAAGGAUAGUAAUUCGCCCUUCCCCGGUUAAACAUCUCCCCAAUGUUAGGAAAAACACUAUUCUUUAGGCCAGAGAGGGAGUCAACAGUGUUAACCAAUUCAUUUGAAAAAUUAACAUUACCAUCCGUAUCAUUAAGUUGGCCACUUCCAAGUUGAAGCAAAAAUUGUGAACAUAACAGUGAGUUGGGAUCUCCUGAAUUGACAGCCCGCAUAUUUGUUGAAAGAGUAAGUCUUUCAACAAAUGACCAAAGUGGGGAUGCCUUUAAGCAAGCAUGCAACUCAUCUGCUAUUGUACCUCUAGGGAUAAUGGGCAAUAUCUGCCUGAAGUCACCGGCCAACAACAACACUACACCUCCCAUUGGUCUCUGAUCCUGCCUACAAUCUUUAAGUGUUAUGUCAACUGCCUCUAAAGCAUGCCUGUGUGCCAUAGUACAUUCAUCCCAGACAAUAAAUUUGCAUUGUCUAAGAACUUCACCCAUUGCGGAAUCAGCAUUCAAAUUACAAACUGGUACCUCAUCCCUGGUCAAAUCUAAGGGUAAUUUGAAAGUGGAAUGAGCAGUUCUGCCACCAUGCAACAGAGUGGCCGCAAUACCAGAAGAAGCUGUAGAAAGAGCAAUGUCCCCAGUACUUCGUACCUUUGUAAGAAGAAGAUUGAUCAGAAAAGUUUUUCCUGUGCCCCCCGGAGCAUCAAGAAAGUACAAUCCGCCAGCAUUGGAAUCAAUUUUAGAAAGGAUCCUAUCGUAAGCCUCCUUUUGUUCAGGGACAUUGGCAAGUUUCGGUUCAUUCGAAGCCACAAAUUGUAGUAACCUGCUGAGAUCAUACGAUGUUUCUCUUAAAAGUUCAUGACUGGUUCGGUGAGUAACAUUGUGCUGUGGGGACCUCAUGCCAAACUUUGUCAAAUGGAAACCAGUCAUUUGCAGAACUUUUUGUUCUAAAAGUAUUAAAGCCUGAUUUGACAUUUCGGAUGUCAGCUGUAAAAGACCGUCAUUGGCUUGCUGUCUGGCAAGAUUCAGAAUAUCUGCAGACAUUGGUUCUUUAAAUUGUGCCCAGAUAUCUUGAGGGUUGGUAGGGUGGCAGCAGGUAAGAAUAAUAGCAAAAAGUUCCCGGAUUUUUAAAGGAGACUCACUUAGCACUGCUUCCUGAAUACAAUGAUGCCAUUGCUGGUCAUUCUCAAGCAACCCCAAAUGCAGACAUGCCUCUUUAUAUGUUUGACAGAGCACACCAUUGAUUGUUCUGAGGGCUGCAAAAGAAGUCGGACCACGAACACUAUGAAGCAGCAUGCGAAGAUAAAAACAUUCCUCAAAAUUUGGAUGAACGGUGUAGACUCUGCCAAUAGCAUCAGAAGCAAAAGCAACUUGGUCAGCAAUGCGAGUGCCUUGUUUUCGAGGCUGCCAUGAUUUAGUAGCAGACCAAAUGUAGUAAACAGGAACUUCAACAUAGAGAAGUGUUUUUGCAAAGUUAUCGCGCUGGCAAAGGGCAAAAAAUUCUGUCAACGUGGUCUUAGGUGGACGGUGAGCCUGUAGUGCAGCAUUAGCAGAAGUAAAAUAUACACGCUGCCCAUUUUCCAAGUGUACAGAGAGAUGUUGAACCAUUGGAUGGCGUCUGUGAAUAGGGAAUCCCAGAAUGCGCCAAACAGCUUCAUUGCUACUAAUAUAUCGACCAUGUUGGUACUCUAGCACUUCAUUAGACUCUGUUUGAGCACCACUAACUGCAAAAAUUGAUUGGUCUGAACCCUUGUAUAUGUAUUUGCAGAUAUAUUUUAUAGCAGAGAUUGAAGCACAGGACUCCACAUUGAUGUGAGCAUCAAAUAGUCUGCAUAGAAGAGGCGAAUAUGGCACAACAUACCUAUUAUCAAUGGUAACAUCAGUCAUGCGCACAACCUGAACACCAUUCUCAAUGGUGAAAACUCUCACUCUUUUAACAAAAGAAAAGCCACCUUCCUCAGGCCUGCGACGUCUGUACAAUGGGUAGCCAUCCCUAUCUGUCUGCGUUUCAGCCAAGAGUAGCCGUGGAUAUUUCUUUUGGCAUCUACCCCGUUCCAUGCAGCCAGGAUUAGGAUACCCAUGUCCACAUGGCCCAUGAAUCAUAUUUUUGGUUACAGUCCGAAACAGUGAAGCAUCAACCUCCGCAUUGGGGAUUUCAGCACAAAUGAUCGAAUCAAUCUGGUUUGGGCGAAUCUUUUCUUUAAUCCACAAUAAAAUAUGCGCAUGUGGUAGCCCUCGCUUUUGCCAUUCAAUGGUAUAACACCAACAUUGGGGCUUGCCAAAAACAUCACCCUUGGUGAUCAAAUCUAUAAGCUUGGUAACUUUCAAUUGAAAAAUGCGAGCAACCAAGUCAUGCCGAACAAAUGCACCUUGGGUGGGGAACUGCAUUAGUUUUAUCUCAGGCCACUCAGGAUUGCAUGUAAAUGUAAUAAAAAGGUCUGGGCGACCAUAUUUACGGACGUAAGCCAUGCAAUCCUGGGCAUACUCAUGCAUGUGCCUUGGACUGCCCACAAAGGAAGAAGGAAGAAUAACUUGUCUUCCAAUAAGGGCAUGACUCCUGUCAGUGCGAAUAGCAUCUAACAGAUUGAUAUAUUCGGUUGCACGAAGUUGAGCUUGAUGCGCUGAGAUGUAAUGCAGCCUUUCAGAUUCCACCUUGGCAUAAAUGUCGACCAGAAUUUGAUGGGUCAAAUCUCCAAAGGCCAGUAACCAAUUUGUUAUGCCAGGAUUACGGCUACGAAUCAUUAGCAGUGAAGCAUAAAAAUCCAUGCAAGAAACCGUCUUGUGCGCCGAAGGAACCCCAUUAAUCAGCUGAGGGAUAUGGAAAUGAUAACCAUCUUGACCAUUCCAAAAAACCAAUGGGUAUUGCAGGGCGUCAUAAGACCUGUGAAACUCGUUAAUCCUCUGCACACCACUGCCUCUUUUGGAAAGAACAAUGUCACGUCUGUCACAGUUUUCCUGCACAAUAACAAUGGCAACCUCAUUAAUGGUUGGAGCAUUGAAUGUGCGAGGAUGGUGUCCAGGCGGUGCUUUGUCAGCCUUAAUGACCAACUUGUAAUCAGGAGAAGGCAUUUUUUCAAUGGAAGCUUUGAACAAAUGGACAUAAGGAUUAUGUUGAUGCAACAUAUCUUGCAAAAUGCUAAUAAUGUGGGGCUUAGUGAUAGGAAAGUUUCUAUGGCGGGUGGCAACCUCAGCACUACUAUCUCCGAUGAAGAAAACCUGAAGGAAUGCUGGCUGUAGUUGGCGGCUAUCAGAGUCGAGUGGUGGCAAAACAGAGCCAAUUCUAUGAUAGACCUGGCCUUGGACCUUAAACGUUGGCAUGUAACCUGGCAACACAACACGACUACCACACCCAAAAGAUGUCAUUUGGAAGGCAUUGUUAUAGUGACGGACACGUUGCAUGAACUCAGCCGAGUGAGGAGAAGACCCAUCGAGCAGAGUUCUGAGAGCUUCUGGGGGUUCAGGUAAAACAGGAAUUCUGACCUUACCUGCAGAACAGCACAUUCCAGGCCGCUCACCAUUGUACUUAAAGGCAGUACAAUGUUGACAUUGUUUUUCCAUAUGGCCAAUCUGAAGAAAAGUAAAUUGUUCAUAAUUCAGGGCGGAUUGUAAUGGAAAGCAGCAUUGAGCAUGUCAGCCCAAGUGCUAGCUCGUUGCCUGAAAUACCGCAACUGGUCAGCCUCCUGUCGUGUUUGGGACUGCUGGGGAGUCUCUGAUGCGCGUUGAACUCUGUGGCGCAGCCGGUCACUUUGGAGACGGGCUUGAGACUGUUGGGGAUUCUCUGAUGCGCGUUGAACUCUGUGGCGCAGCCGGUCACUUUGGAGGCGGGCUUGAGACUGUUGGGGAUCCUCUGAUGCGCGUUGAACUCUGCGGCGCAGCCGGUCACUUUGGAGGCGGGCUUGAGACUGUUGGGGAUUCUCCAAUGUGCGGCUACUUUGGCCUCUAGCAGCUCGGGCAGCCAUGCGUCGAGCUGCAGGUGUACUUACUCCAAUUGCAGAUCUUUUGCGAGGCAUAUCAAAUGGGAUGAUUCAAUUUGAAAAUAUGUCCUAAAAAAACAGAAAUAGCACAAUCAGUACCAAAAAUAUAUCUGUAUAUAUAUAAAAAAAAAAAAAAGCUUAUAAGGAAAACAGUGCAGACCCAAAACAUGAUUUUUUCAAAAGAAUAACAAAACAAAGGCCAUUACAACAAUUAAAAAACAUAAGCCCAUUGUUUAUAUACAGUAAUAAAAGUUUGUAAAUAGUGUCAAAUCUGCAUUGGUUACUAACCGUAACUUUGUAAAAUGUAGUGCCCUAUCAACAUGUCAGAAAAAAAAAUAAUAAUACUAAAAAAAAACUAAUGCCAAAAUAGCCAUGUUAAUAUUUUAGGCUGAUAAAAACCAAUGGGUAUAUGGAUUAUAGACAAACACAUGUUUUGGCUGUUAAAUGAGACAGUAACUAAUAGUAAAUUUUCACUACUGUAUUUUCUGCAUAUUGACUAUUGUUUGUUUAAUUUUAAGAAUUAUCAUAUUGACUGUAAAUAAAAAAAACAAAGGGCAGAACAAACCUUAACUUAGCAAUAUAAUGUAGCAUAAUAAUGUAGUGCCCUAUCAACAUGUCAGAAAAAAAAUAAUAAUACUAAAAAAAAACUAAUGCCAAAAUAGCCAUGUUAAUAUUUUAGGCUGAUAAAAACCAAUGGGUAUAUGGAUUAUAGACAAACACAAAGGCCAGAACAAACCUUAACUUAGCAAUAUAAUGUAGCAUAAUAAUGUAGUGCCCUAUCAACAUGUCAGAAAAAAAAUAAUAAUACUAAAAAAAAACUAAUGCCAAAAUAGCCAUGUUAAUAUUUUAGGCUGAUAAAAACCAAUGGGUAUAUGGAUUAUAGACAAACACAUGUUUUGGCUGUUAAAUGAGACAGUAAUUAAUAGUAAAUUUUCACUACUGUAUUUUCUGCAUAUUGACUAUUGUUUGUUUAAUUUUAAGAAUUAUCAUAUUGACUGUAAAUAAAAAAAACAAAGGCCAGAACAAACCUUAACUUAGCAAUAUAAAUUUUAGACAAACACAUGUUUUGGCUGUUAAAUGAAGCCAUGUUAAUAUUUUAGGCUGAUAAAAACCAAUGGGUAUAUGGAUUAUAGACAAACACAUGUUUUGGCUGUUAAAUAAGACAGUAAUUAAUAGUAAAUUUUCACUACUGUAUUUUCUGCAUAUUGACUAUUGUUUGUUUAAUUUUAAGAAUUAUCAUAUUGACUGUAAAUAAAAAAAACAAAGGCCAGAACAAACCUUAACUUAGCAAUAUAAAUUUUAGAAAAACACAUGUUUUGGCUGUUAAAUGAGACAGUAAAUAAUAUUAAAUUUUCACUACUGUAUUUUUUGCUUAUUGACUAUUGUUUGUUUAAUUUUAAGGAUUAGCAAUAUAAAUUUUAGACAAACACAUGUUUUGGCUGUUAAAUGAGACACUAAUCAUAUUAAAUUUUCACUACUGUAUUUUUCGCA